CAGCCGCCGCGGUAAUACGUAGGUGGCAAGCGUUGUCCGGAAUUAUUGGGCGUAAAGGGCUCGCAGGCGGCUUCUUAAGUCUGAUGUGAAAGCCCCCGGCUCAACCGGGGAGGGUCAUUGGAAACUGGGAAACUUGAGUGCAGAAGAGGAGAGUGGAAUUCCACGUGUAGCGGUGAAAUGCGUAGAGAUGUGGAGGAACACCAGUGGCGAAGGCGACUCUCUGGUCUGUAACUGACGCUGAGGAGCGAAAGUGUGGGAAGCGAACAGGAUUAGAUACCCCAGUAGUCCCUGUCUCUUAUAC
rnacentral:rRNA from 1 species